rnacentral:rRNA from 1 species
GGAGGAGGAAGCCCCGGCUAACUACGUGCCAGCAGCCGCGGUAAUACGUAGGGGGCAAGCGUUGUCNGGAUUCACUGGGCGUAAAGCGCGCGCAGGCGGUGAUGUAAGUCUGAGGUGAAAACCCGAAGCUCAACUUCGGGACUGCCUUGGAUACUGCGUCACUUGAGGAUAGGAGAGGCAAGGGGAAUUCCACGUGUAGCGGUGAAAUGCGUAGAGAUGUGGAGGAACACCUGUGGCGAAGGCGCCUUGCUGGCCUAUUUCUGACGCUGAGGCGCGAAAGCGUGGGGAGCAAACAGGAUUAGAUACCCUGGUAGUCCACGCUGUAAACGAUGAGUGCUAGGUGUAGGUGGGCUCAUACCCAUCUGUGCCGAAGCUAACGCAUUAAGCACUCCGCCUGGGGAGUACGGUCGCAAGACUGAAACUCAAAGGAAUUGACGGGGGCCCGCACAAGCAGUGGAGCAUGUGGUUUAAUUCGAAGCAACGCGAAGAACCUUACCAGGACUUGACAUCCCAUAGACCAGUCUAGAGAUAGACUUUCCCUUCGGGGCUGUGGUGACAGGUGGUGCAUGGUUGUCGUCAGCUCGUGUCGUGAGAUGUUGGGUUAAGUCCCGCAACGAGCGCAACCCUUACUUUGUGUUGCCAGCAUUCAGUUGGGCACUCACAAGGGACUGCCGCCGAUAAGGCGGAGGAAGGUGGGGAUGACGUCAAAUCAUCAUGCCCCUUAUGUCCUGGGCUACACACGUGCUACAAUGGGCGGUACAACGGGAUGCGAAGCCGCGAGGUGGAGCCAAACCCUGAAAACCGUUCGUAGUUCGGAUUGUAGGCUGCAACUCGCCUACAUGAAGCCGGAAUUGCUAGUAAUCGCGGAUCAGCAUGCCGCGGUGAAUACGUUCCCG